rnacentral:lncRNA from 1 species
CUUGAGAGUUAUAUAGGAUAUGGCAUAUUGUUUAGCUCCUGUAGUAGGGAAGACAACAAUAUGGAUGGGAAGUGUGACAUUCAGGUCUUAUAAUCUUUUGCCUCCCUGUGCUCCCUUCUGGUGGCUGCAAAGUUUUGGAUGGGUGGCACUGUCUCUGCACUGUCCACAGGCAGCAAAAGCACUUCUCAUGGAUGCAUUUCCAAGCAGCCAGGGUCCACAAGAGAAGUAUGGACACCUGGUGGCCUCUGAAGUUGCCCACAGCUCACUUCAGUUCCUUUGAUGUCCUUGCAUCUCCUGCUCCCCAGCUUGCAUUGGUCAUGAGGCAGGACACGUGGACAGGAUGGGAAGAUGAUGGUAUCCCACCACUCAGCAAAUGCCUUCAAGCCAACAGACUGGUGUAAAACCUUUUUUCUUCCAAAUCUC